UACAGAGGGGGCAAGCGUUGUUCGGAAUUACUGGGCGUAAAGGGCGCGUAGGCGGCCGCCUAAGUCAGACGUGAAAUCCCUCGGCUCAACCGGGGAACUGCGUCUGAUACUGGGUGGCUUGAAUUCGGGAGAGGGAUGCGGAAUUCCAGGUGUAGCGGUGAAAUGCGUAGAUAUCAGGAGGAACACCUGUGGCGAAAGCGGCUCACUGGACCAUAACUGACGCUGAUGCACGAAAGCUAGGGGAGCAAACAGG
rnacentral:rRNA from 1 species